rnacentral:rRNA from 1 species
UACGUAGGGUGCAAGCGUUGUCCGGAUUUAUUGGGCGUAAAGAGCUCGUAGGCGGCUUGGCAAGUCAGGUGUGAAAACUUCAGGCUCAACCUGGAGAUGCCACCUGAUACUGCUAUGGCUAGAGUCCGGUAGGGGACCACGGAAUUCCUGGUGUAGCGGUGAAAUGCGCAGAUAUCAGGAAGAACACCCGUGGCUAAGGCGGCUCCUCUAGUACGGUACUGACGCUGAGACGCGAAAGCGUGGGGAGCGAACAGG